UACGGAGGGGGCAAGCGUUGUUCGGAAUUACUGGGCGUAAAGGGCGCGCAGGCGGCUGCUCAAGUCAGGCGUGAAAGGCCUGGGCUCAACCCGGGAAUUGCGCUUGAGACUGGGCUGGCUCGAGUGCGGGAGAGGAUGGUGGAAUUCCCAGUGUAGAGGUGAAAUUCGUAGAUAUUGGGAAGAACACCGGUGGCGAAGGCGGCCAUCUGGACCGCAACUGACGCUGAGGCGCGAAAGCGUGGGGAGCAAACAGG
rnacentral:rRNA from 1 species